UACGUAGGGAGCGAGCGUUGUCCGGAUUCAUUGGGCGUAAAGAGCUCGUAGGCGGCUUGGCAAGUCGGGUGUGAAAACUCCAGGCUCAACCUGGAGACGCCACCCGAUACUGCCAUGGCUAGAGUCCGGUAGGGGACCACGGAAUUCCUGGUGUAGCGGUGAAAUGCGCAGAUAUCAGGAGGAACACCGGUGGCGAAGGCGGUGGUCUGGGGCCGGAACUGACGCUGAGGAGCGAAAGCGUGGGGAGCGAACAGG
rnacentral:rRNA from 1 species